rnacentral:rRNA from 1 species
AGCGAACGCUGGCGGCAGGCCUAACACAUGCAAGUCGAACGAACCCUUCGGGGUUAGUGGCGGACGGGUGAGUAACACGUGGGAACGUGCCUUUAGGUUCGGAAUAACUCAGGGAAACUUGUGCUAAUACCGAAUGUGCCCUUCGGGGGAAAGAUUUAUCGCCUUUAGAGCGGCCCGCAGUCUGAUUAGCUAGUUGGUGAGGUAAAGGCUCACCAAGGCGACGAUCAGUAGCUGGUCUGAGAGGAUGAUCAGCCACAUUGGGACUGAGACACGGCCCGAACUCCUACGGGAGGCAGCAGUGGGGAAUCUUGCCCAAUGGGCGAAAGCCUGACGCUGCCAUGCCGCGUGAAUGAUGAAGGUCUUAGGAUUGUAAAAUUCUUUCACCGGGGACGAUAAUGACGGUACCCGGAGAAGAAGCCCCGGCUAACUUCGUGCCAGCCGCCGCGGUAACAC